AGGCAUUAGAAACAUUCAAAGGCAAUAGGCAGUACAACCUCAUUAAAAUUGGGCACUUAUGCUCAAAAUAUGUGAUCCAUAUGGAGGAAUGUGUUAAAUGGUUAGAACAUGGAGAAGACUGUAAAAGUACUUGGGCUCCCUCCCCUUUGUGAACUAGAUAACUUCAUUUGAUUACUAUUAGUUGUUAGUUCAGUUAGAAAGCAAUUGAUAAUUGUUAUACAACUUGAUCGAAGUGAUACCACCCGCAACAAAGCGCGGGAUUUCUAACUAGUUUACUAUAUACCAAAGAUGAGUUAGUGUUCACUCAGGCCUGAAAUGGAGUGACGGUUUUUCCCUUCCUACUCGCCACAACUACAAUUUUGCCAUAAUUUUACGGAUAAGGGCGAUGGAGACCAUCGGGAGAGAGAUAUGUUGUCUCAGAGACGAAAUAGCCCAAACAUCCGAGAGCGGUAGAGGGUUUUUAGAUUGGAGAUUUGGGCAAAUCCAGGUUUGUUAAUCGGUCUGUGUUGGGCGAAGAGGCUCUUUUGUAUCUGUUCUUUCGAUUUGAUACUCCAAUAGCAUCUGCAGCAUUUAAAAGGUAAUCUCGAUCUGAAAGUUUUCAUCUUUUUAACAUUUUGGCUUCUGGGUUUUAUGGCCUGAAUGAGUAGGAUAGGAUAAGUUUACAAUGUCUUUUUUGUUUUGUUUUUGAGGUUGUCAGUCAUUGAUUGUUACUGUGAUAUACAGUAGCUGAGUAGCUAGGUAGCUAUUGUAAGAUUUGAACAAUGCGAUGGUGUUUUUAUUCU
rnacentral:lncRNA from 1 species